ensembl:lncRNA
UAAACUGACAGUGCCAAUACCACACAUUCAGACACAGUAGUAGAUGGUGUUUUUAAUACUAUAUGUGUUAGUCUAAUUUGGUUGUAUGGGGUCUACAUUGACCUUCUGUGUUGUAAGUUAUAAUGAUUGCACAGCCAUUAAGGAUCAAAUCAGCUUCUGAAAAAUGUUCUGUUUUUUCUCCCUCUGCUUGCUUCUUACUGUCUUUGAGGCUCGGGACCAGCACUCCUGCUGUUGGACAGAAAGACAUCAACUUGAGAUAUGACUGCACUAUGCUGUUGCUGGUGACUCCAGUUAAUUCUACAAGACAUGCUGUGACACCAGGAGAGAUGAGUCCUCCGUCACAGAUGGUGUGGUCAGUGAAGAUGGUCGCCUGCAGGUUCAAGCUCAUUGCAUCUCCAACCCACAUCCACUGCCACUGUACUUAAGGGAAGUUAAAGACUUUCUUCUGCACCUACAUUUGGAUCACCUCGAUCCAUGACAGUCAUUCAGGCAGUGAUGCCUGGACUGGAAACAAGCCAUCCUUAAAAUAAUACAACAUUCCAGCUCAUGUGUUGGAAUGGAAAACAAAUGUGUUGUUUAAAUUAGAGACUGC